UUCCAGAUCCGCCAGUCAGCCAGACUCUUCCAGAUCCGCCAGUCAGCCAGACUCUUCCAGAUCCGCCAGUCAGCCAGACUCUUCCAGAUCCGCUAGUCAGCCAGACUCUUCCAGAUCCGCCAGUCAACCAGACUCUUCUAGAUCCGCCAGACUCUUCCAGAUCUGCCAGCCAACCAGACUCUUCCAGAUCCGCCAGUCAGCCAGGAUCUGCCAGCUCCGCCAGUCAGCCAGGAUCUGCCAGUCAGCCAGGAUCUGCCAGUCAGCCAGGAUCUGGUAGAUCCAUCAACCUGCCUGAGCUUCCUCUCACUCCCGAGCUUCCUCUCACUCCCGAGCUUCCUCUCACUCCCGAGCUUCCUCUCACUCCCGAGCUUCCCCUCCGUUCCGAGCUGCCCUUCAGUCCCGAUCUGCUCCUCAGUCCAGUGGGGUUCUGGGUGAGGACUACUAGGCCAUGGUCGGCGGCGAGGGUGGAAUAUCCAGGGACGCGAGGAGAGGGGACAAAGACAUUGACUGAGUGGGGUCCACGUCCCGCGCCGGAGCCGCCACCAUGGACAGACGCCCAGCCGGACCCUCCCUAUUGUUUUGAGUUCAUACUGGUGUCUGGAGCUCUACCCCUCUGCCCUAUCAGACGCUCAGAAGUCCAUCCAGCUCGCCCCUGAUUGGCCAAAGGGAUACUUCCUCAAGGAGAGUGCACUGAUGGGGUUAAAGCUGUAUGGUGAGGCAGAAAGGGCCAUGGAUCAGGUGUUAAAGCUGGAUCAGGUCCUCCACUGAGGUCUUCAACUGCAAGGUCCUGCAGAUCAUGAACCUGGGUUUUGAGGAGGGGCAGAGAUUUUUGCAGGACUCCAGUGGUGGAUCUCUCCUCCCCCAGGACUCCAGUGGUGGACCCUCCUCCCUCAUGACUCCAGUGGUGGACCUCUCCUCCCCUCAUGACUCCAGUGGUGGACCUCUCCUCCCCUCAUGACUCCAGUGGUGGACCUCUCCUCCCCUCAGGACUCCAGUGGAGGACCUCUCCUCCCCUCAGGACUCCU
ensembl:lncRNA